UACGGAGGGAGCUAGCGUUGUUCGGAAUUACUGGGCGUAAAGCGCGCGUAGGCGGCUUUGUAAGUUAGAGGUGAAAGCCCGGAGCUCAACUCCGGAACUGCCUUUAAAACUGCAUCGCUUGAAUCCAGGAGAGGUGAGUGGAAUUCCGAGUGUAGAGGUGAAAUUCGUAGAUAUUCGGAAGAACACCAGUGGCGAAGGGACGGCUCACU
rnacentral:rRNA from 1 species